rnacentral:rRNA from 1 species
GAGUUUGAUCCUGGCUCAGGACGAACGCUGGCGGCGUGCUUAACACAUGCAAGUCGAACGGAAAGGCCCUUCGGGGUACUCGAGUGGCGAACGGGUGAGUAACACGUGGGUGAUCUGCCCUGCACUCUGGGAUAAGCCUGGGAAACUGGGUCUAAUACCGGAUAGGACCACACACUUCAUGGUGAGUGGUGCAAAGCUUUUGCGGUGUGGGAUGAGCCCGCGGCCUAUCAGCUUGUUGGUGGGGUAAUGGCCCACCAAGGCGACGACGGGUAGCCGGCCUGAGAGGGUGACCGGCCACACUGGGACUGAGAUACGGCCCAGACUCCUACGGGAGGCAGCAGUGGGGAAUAUUGCACAAUGGGCGCAAGCCUGAUGCAGCGACGCCGCGUGAGGGAUGACGGCCUUCGGGUUGUAAACCUCUUUCAGUAGGGACGAAGCGAAAGUGACGGUACCUACAGAAGAAGGACCGGCCAACUACGUGCCAGCAGCCGCGGUAAUACGUAGGGUCCGAGCGUUGUCCGGAAUUACUGGGCGUAAAGAGCUCGUAGGUGGUUUGUCGCGUUGUUCGUGAAAACUCACAGCUUAACUGUGGGCGUGCGGGCGAUACGGGCAGACUAGAGUACUGCAGGGGAGACUGGAAUUCCUGGUGUAGCGGUGGAAUGCGCAGAUAUCAGGAGGAACACCGGUGGCGAAGGCGGGUCUCUGGGCAGUAACUGACGCUGAGGAGCGAAAGCGUGGGUAGCGAACAGGAUUAGAUACCCUGGUAGUC